ACACUUGUCUCAUCCCUCUUUCCACUCUCUACUUCUCCUCUCCUAUCCCUCGUCCCUCCACCACCGCCAACCUCACGGCUCCACCACCACCGCCCUCUGCUCUCCAGCCUCGCCACUUCCACCCACCGCCUCCGCCCUCUCCUUUCCUCAACCGGUUCGCUCACCUCCACCCUCCAUUUUCAUCCACUGAUUUGCCCACCUCCAAAAAUUAGGGCUCGAGAUGGAAAGGGGUUUCAAGCGGCGACGAUAUGGGUGGCGGCAUCUCCUCCACCACUGCCUCUCUCUACUCCUCAAUCUCUCCUAGUGAAAAAUGGGAGCGGAGCUGCGGCGGCGGUUGCUGCCGGCGGCUCAGUGAAAAAUGGUGCAAAAUUGAAAAUGGAAAGAUAAAGUUUAGGGGGUUUUUUGUAUUUUUGUGAAUUGUGAAGAUUGAAUUUUGCUCGAAUUUACUGCUCCAUGUUUGAACCGUUAUUUCAAUCUCCUUCUUGUUGUUUGUGUUGAGUUUGGAGAAGUGGUGGGAGAUGGUUUGGAUGGUGCAGAUCUAGUGAGUUUUGGGAUAGUGACUUUUGCAGAGGUUGGAGAGGUGCAAAUUGUUGGCCGUGGAAGUUGCAGGGGAGGGAGUUGGAGAGUGCAGAUUGUUGGCUGUGGAAGUUGCAGGGAAAUGGAGUUGGAGUUUUUGAAGAGGGCUGCCACGAGGCUGUUGUCCUCGGCGGUCGAGGCGCCGACCACCGGCAUCCGGUGACAGAAUUUUCGACGGUGGAGGCGACGGCCACUGGGCGGCAGAAUUGUUGAUGUUGGAGAAGUGGUG
rnacentral:lncRNA from 1 species